GUGCCAGCAGCCGCGGUAAUACGUAGGGUACGAGCGUUGUCCGGAAUUAUUGGGCGUAAAGAGCUCGUAGGUGGUUGGUCACGUCUGCUGUGGAAACGCAACGCUUAACGUUGCGCGUGCAGUGGGUACGGGCUGACUAGAGUGCAGUAGGGGAGUCUGGAAUUCCUGGUGUAGCGGUGAAAUGCGCAGAUAUCAGGAGGAACACCGGUGGCGAAGGCGGGACUCUGGGCUGUAACUGACACUGAGGAGCGAAAGCAUGGGGAGCGAACAGGAUUAGAUACCCUGGUAGUCCAUGCCGUAAACGUUGGGCACUAGGUGUGGGGGACAUUCCACGUUCUCCGCGCCGUAGCUAACGCAUUAAGUGCCCCGCCUGGGGAGUACGGUCGCAAGGCUAAAACUCAAAGGAAUUGACGGGGGCCCGCACAAGCGGCGGAGCAUGCGGAUUAAUUCGAUGCAACGCGAAGAACCUUACCAAGGCUUGACAUACACUGGGCCGUUCUGGAAACAGUUCUUCUCUUUGGAGCUGGUGUACAAGUGGUGCAUGGUUGUCGUCAGCUCGUGUCGUGAGAUGUUGGGUUAAGUCCCGCAACGAGCGCAACCCUCGUUCUAUGUUGCCAGCACGUGAUGGUGGGAACUCAUAGGAGACUGCCGGGGUCAACUCGGAGGAAGGUGGGGAUGACGUCAAAUCAUCAUGCCCUUUAUGUCUUGGGCUUCACGCAUGCUACAAUGGCUGGUACAGAGAGAGGCGAACCCGUGAGGGUAAGCGAAUCCCUUAAAGCCAGUCUCAGUUCGGAUCGUAGUCUGCAAUUCGACUACGUGAAGUCGGAGUCGCUAGUAAUCGCAGAUCAGCAACGCUGCGGUGAAUACGUUCCCGGGCCUUGUACACACCGCCCGUCAAGUCACGAAAGUCGGUAACACCCGAAGCCGGUGUCCCA
rnacentral:rRNA from 1 species